GCCAUUGCGUUCCUCGCAAGGUAGGAACUAGUCCGAGGAGCUUUUAGGAGCUUCAUUUUCACUUCAUUCAGAUUCUUCCAUUUCAGAGUUUACUGGACGUGAGUCGGAUUUGCUUCAAUGGCAUGCAGAAGGUUUGCUGCGUGCUCAUUUCAAUCUUUCAAGCCUUACACGAAGAUUUCCAAAUACGUUGACCGAGUCCUUAGACCGAAUGUUGUUCUAAAUAAAAGAUACUAUAAUGACGAAUCUCACAGUUUUAAAAGAGCCACUGUAUGUGGUUUACAUAUUCCAAGUUAUGGUACACAUCGCAUUGAUACAUUUCUGCCCGCAUCGUCAAUGAAAUACUGGAACACUAUCCCUCUUACUUCUAUUGGGAAUUUGUCAAAUUAUCGGAAUUAUUCAUCUACUUCUGGUAGAAAAGCUGAUAUAACUGGAGAUACUGGUGUGCCAGCAGCUUCUGCGGGUGUUGAACCGGAUAUCAGUAACCCCCCUGAUGUUGGAAGGGACUUGCUUGAAAAGGUUAAGGAUGUCUGGCAAAGUGCUGUUGAUGCAGCAUCUUUUACGGGGCAGAAGGCUAAAGAAGUGUCGGAUGAAUUAUCUCCGCACGUUGAUAAACUACUCGAUUCACAUCCUUAUCUAAAAAAUGUGAUUGUUCCUGUAAGUAUGACCUUGGCUGGUACUCUUUUGGCUUGGGCGGUAAUGCCUAGGCUUUUGAGGAGAUUUCAUAAGUAUUCAAUGCGAAGUCCUGUUGCCAUAAUAUCUGGAGCCUUACCUAGUGAGGAAAUUCCAUAUGAGAAAAGUUUUUGGGGUGCACUUGAGGAUCCUUUGCGAUAUCUUGUUACCUUCUUUGCAUUUUCUCAAAUUGGCGUGAUAGUUGCACCAACUGCAGUAGCGCCGGAAUUUGUUUCACAGGCCUGCAGAGGGGCUGUAAUUCUUUCCCUUGUCUGGUUUAUCUAUCGCUGGAAAACAAAUGUGUUUUCCCGAGCCUUGGCCACCCAGACUUCUGCAGGGCUUGAUCGGGACAGGUUACUUACCCUUGACAAAGUUUCAUCUGUUGCUCUAUUUGCUAUUGGAUUGAUGGCUUUGGCCGAGGCAUCUGGUGUGGCUGUUCAAUCUAUGCUGACGGUUGGUGGCAUUGGAGGAGUGGCCACUGCUUUUGCUGCGAGGGACGUACUUGGGAAUAUUUUGAGUGGCUUAACGAUGCAGUUUUCACAACCCUUCUCACUUGGAGAUACAAUUAAGGCUGGUACUAUUGAAGGUCAAGUUGUGGAAAUGGGACUCAUGACAACAUCGCUAUUAAGUGCUGAAAAAUUUCCAGUCGUUGUUCCAAAUUCUCUGUUUUCUAGCCAGGUAAUUAUAAAUAAGUCGAGGGCACAGUGGCGUGCAAUAGUGAAGAGGGUUCCUUUGCAAGUUGAUGAUAUUAGUACAGUUUCUCAGAUAACAGAUGAUAUUAAGAAGAUGCUUAUGUCUCACCCUAAGGUGUUUUUGGGCAAGGAGGCUCCUUAUUGUUUUCUCUCUCAAAUUGAAAGUACAUAUGCAGAAUUGACAGUAGGUUGUAACCUUAAAAAAAUGGGUAAAGAUGAAUCGUUCUCUACAGAGCAAGAUAUUCUCCUUCAGUCAGUACAAAUCAUUAAGGCGAGAGGUGCAACCUUAGGAAGCACCGUGUCAGAUUGGACGAACAAGUAACGAUGCUAACCGUACUUCAAAAGAAAAACAUCCACACUAAUGGGCUUCAAUCUUCUGCUAUUCCCACUUGUUUUUAAUACAAGCAGUUUGGCAGCAUUUCUCAACGUGAUUGGGAGGGCGAUGAAUUCAGUUUAGAAGAAAGCAACUCAUCCAUCUGACAUAAAAUUCUGAACAACUAUCUCACCAAAACUACCAUAUUUGUGUUCAAUCAAUCCUUUUGUCUGUGUUCUUUUUGGUAGCUUGGAAUAUGUUCGACAGGCCGAGAUUGACAGAUUGGAAUGUUCGAACUUGCUGCUCGGCGUGGGUGCUGGCAUUUCUGUAAAGCCUCACAAGUUUGGCCAUGGUUGGAACUCAUAGAGGGGAUGAGAGAGUAAAGAUGCUGGUUUGAGAUCUGCAACAAUCAAUUUCUUGAGAGGUGACCUCCAAAUACUAUCAUAUUGUAAAUCUAUUUGGUUCAAAUUCCUAAAUUAAGAAAAAAAAAUAAAAUUGUCAAUAUUAUCAUGCUAAAUUGGUUAAGAUAUAUAUUAUUAAUGCGGUGAAUUAUCAGGUAAAUUAUUAUAAUAUUAUUGAAAAUAUUUAAAAAAUAUAACAAAAUUUUAUAUUGAAUUAGUAAUAGGGUUUGAAAUUUUGUGUGUGUGUGUGUGUUUUUUUUUGUCAUUUUGAUAUAUUAAAAAAUACUUCAUUUUUCUAGAUUUUCUUUUUGGCAAUUGAGUGCCAUUUUCCGCUUCUAGAAAUACAUGUUUUUCUCCAAUUCAAAGUCAAGCAAGUCUUGUAGUCAGCUAUUUUAGUCAAACACGACUUUUCAUCAUUUACUUGAAGAAGGGGUCUCGUAUUUCUCUAGAAAUGCGAAUAAAUGCUUCUUAAUUUGUUAUUGAUUUUUAUUUAUCUUUAAUUAAUUAAUACUUCAGUAAUAAUUUGAGGAUAAAAUUGUAAACCUCUCAAACUAUAACCAUAAUUUGAAAAAACCCCUUAAAGAAACAACAAAGUUAUUUUGGAACUGAUUGAAAUCAGGCAAAAAUGGACUAUUACCAACUUUAAACCUUCCUAUGCUAACAAGUUACAAUAAAUACCGAAAGAAAUUUCAUAUUUUCUCAUCCGUCUUCCUCAAGCUCAUAACAAUGGCGGAAAACAAAGGCCUUCACGUCGUUGUAUUUCCAUGGUCUGCCUUUGGCCAUUUAAUUCCCCAUUUUCAACUCUCUAUUGCUUUAGCCAAAGCCGGCGUCCAUGUCUCCUUCAUCUCCACCCCCAAAAAUCUGCAAAGACUUCCCCCAAUUCCUCCUUCCCUUUCCUCCUUCAUAACUCCGGUCCCGAUUCCACUCCCAAAACUCCCCGGCGACCCCCUGCCGGAAGGUGCAGAGGCCACCGUCGACAUUCCGUUCGAAAAAAUCCCCUUCCUUAAAGUAGCACUAGAUCUCGCCGAGCCACCAUUCCGAAAGUUCAUCGCCGAUCAUCCACAUCCGCCGGAUUGGUUCAUCGUCGAUUUCAACGUUAGUUGGAUCAGUGACAUUUCUCGAGAAUUUCGAGUUCCGAUCGUUUUCUUUCGCGUUCUGUCCCCCGGAUUUCUCGCUUUCUACGCCCAUGUUCUUGGGGCUAGGUUGCCUCUGUCGGAGAUCGGAAGCCUGAUUUCGCCACCGCCAAUUGAAGGCUCUACGGUGGCGUACCGGCGGCAUGAAGCGGUCGGAAUUCGUGCUGGAUUUUUUGAGAAGAACGAUUCCGGGAUGAGUGAUUACGAGAGGGUUACGAAGAUCAUUUCCGCGUGUCAAGCAAUUGCAGUUCGUACUUGUUAUGAAUUUGAUGUUGAUUAUUUGAAGUUGUACUCGAAUUAUUGCGGAAAGAAAGUGAUCCCUCUAGGGCUUCUUCCUCCAGAAAAGCCUCCAAAAACAGAGUUCGAGGCCAAUUCGCCAUGGAAAUCAACCUUCGAGUGGCUCGAUCAACAAAACCCCAAAUCGGUGGUGUUCGUCGGAUUCGGAAGCGAAUGCAAGCUCACAAAGGAUCAAAUUCACGAGAUAGCACGUGGAGUGGAGCUCUCGGAGUUGCCAUUUUUAUGGGCUCUGAGAAAACCGGACUGGGCGGAGGAUUCCGACGUGCUUCCAGCGGGGUUCCCUGAUCGAACGGCGGGGAGAGGGAUGGUGAGUAUGGGGUGGGCUCCGCAGAUGGAGAUUUUGGGGCAUCCGGCAAUCGGAGGGAGUUUUUUUCACGGAGGAUGGGGAUCGGCCAUUGAAGCUCUGGAAUUUGGGAAUUGUCUUAUUCUGUUGCCGUUCAUCGUUGAUCAGCCGCUGAAUGCGAGGCUUUUGGUGGAGAAGGGAGUUGCAGUUGAAGUCGAAAGAAACGAAGACGAUGGGUGUUUCAGUGGAGAAGCCAUAGCCAAAGCUUUGAGAGAAGCCAUGGUUUCAGGAGAAGGGGAGAAGAUUAGGAAGCGAGCUGAAGAAGUUGCCGCCAUUUUUGGGGACACUAAGCUUCAUCAACGAUAUAUUGAGGAAUUUGUAGAAUUCCUCAAAAACAGGGAUCCGAUUCCAAAUCAGUAGCUUUUAAAACUUUGCAUUAAAAAGUCAGUUAAUGCUACUUUGAUAGGUUAUUCAAUCGACGUUCAUAGAGAGAAGCAUCGACAUACUAAGGUAUUAUAGCAUGUGGUGGGCAUAGGAGAUAGACUGCUUUGGCUGGGUCGCUCCAUGAAGAUUAUGAAAAUUUAGCUACCUAUCACUCAUAGAGAAUAAAAAUAGUAAAAAGAGAUAUCGAUUUGGUA